rnacentral:rRNA from 1 species
UGGCUCAGACCGAACGCUGGCGGCGUGGCUAAGACAUGCAAGUCGAACGGAUCAUUCAAGUGAGCAAUCAUGAGAAUGGUUAGUGGCGGAAGGGUGAGUAAUGCAUAGGUAACGUACCCCGAUCUCUGGGAUAGCUGCGGCCCGCAAGGGUCUUUAGCGAAAGUGCAGGUAAUACCGGAUAAGCUCACGGGAUCGUAUGAUCCAGUGAGUAAAGGUUUCGGCCGGUUUGGGAGCGGCCUAUGUCGUAUCAGCUUGUUGGUGAGGUAACGGCUCACCAAGGCGACAACGCGUACCGGGACUGAGAGGUUGGCCCGGCACAUCGGGACUGAGACACUGCCCGGACCUCCACGGAGGGCUGCAGUAACGAAUAUUGCGCAAUGGCCGAAAGGCUGACGCAGCGACGCCGCGUGCAGGAUGAAGAUCUUCGGAUUGUAAACUGCUGUCAGGGUGAAGAAAGGGCGAGCAAUCGCCUUGAUCGAUCCCAGAGGAAGGCCCGGCUAACUUCGUGCCAGCAGCCGCGGUAAUACGAAGGGGCCUAGCGUUGUUCGGAAUUACUGGGCAUAAAGCGCGCGCAGGCGGAGAGGUAAGUGUCCUGUGAAAUACCCCGGCUUAACCGGGGAACUGCGGGGCAAACUGCCUUUCUUGAGGCAAGCAGGGGUGUGUGGAACUCUGGGUGGAGCGGUGAAAUGCGUAGAUAUCCAGAGGAACGCCGGCGGUGAAAACGACACAAUGGGCUUGUUCUGACGCUGAGGCGCGAAAGCGCGGGGAGUGAACGGGAUUAGAUACCCCGGUAAUCCGCGCUGUAAACGAUGCCUGCUAGGUCGUGGUGGUUCUGACACCGGCACGGCCGAAGCUAAUGUGAUAAGUAGGCCGCCUGGGGAGUACGGUCGCAAGGCUAAAACU